rnacentral:rRNA from 1 species
AGAGUUUGAUCCUGGCUCAGGAUCAACGCUGGCGGCGUGCAUGAGACAUGCAAGUCGAACGGACGACUCGGGCUUGCUCGAGUCGUUAGUGGCGGACGGCUGAGUAACGCGUAGGUGACCUACCCCGAAGUGGGGAAUAACUGCCCGAAAGGGUGGCUAAUACCGCAUGUGGUGAUGCGCUCAAUCGCAUCAGUAAAGCCGCAAGGCGCUUCGGGACGGGCCUGCGUCCGAUUAGCUCGUUGGUGGGGUAACGGCUCACCAAGGCGACGAUCGGUAGGUGGUCUGAGAGGACGAUCACCCAGACUGGGACUGAGACACGGCCCAGACUCCUACGGGAGGCAGCAGUCGGGAAUUUUGCUCAAUGGGCGAAAGCCUGAAGCAGCAACGCCGCGUGAGGGAUGAAGGCCUUCGGGUUGUAAACCUCUUUUCUCAGGGAAGAUAAUGACGGUACCUGAGGAAUAAGCCACGGCUAACUACGUGCCAGCAGCCGCGGUAAUACGUAGGUGGCAAGCGUUGUCCGGAUUUACUGGGCGUAAAGAGCGCGCAGGCGGUCGUUCAAGUCGAGUGUGAAAGCCCCCGGCCCAACUGGGGAGGGUCACUCGAUACUGAUCGACUUGAAGGCAGGAGAGGGUAGUGGAAUUCCCGGUGUAGUGGUGAAAUGCGUAGAUAUCGGGAGGAACACCAGUGGCGAAGGCGACUACCUGGCCUGUUCUUGACGCUGAGGCGCGAAAGCUAGGGGAGCAAACGGGAUUAGAUACCCCCGUAGUCC